rnacentral:rRNA from 1 species
GACGAACGUUGGCGGCGUGCCUAAUACAUGCAAGUAGAACGCUGAAGGAGGAGCUUGCUUCUCUGGAUGAGUUGCGAACGGGUGAGUAACGCGUAGGUAACCUGCCUGGUAGCGGGGGAUAACUAUUGGAAACGAUAGCUAAUACCGCAUAAUAGUAGAUGUUGCAUGACAUUUGCUUAAAAGGUGCAAUUGCAUCACUACCAGAUGGACCUGCGUUGUAUUAGCUAGUUGGUGGGGUAACGGCUCACCAAGGCGACGAUACAUAGCCGACCUGAGAGGGUGAUCGGCCACACUGGGACUGAGACACGGCCCAGACUCCUACGGGAGGCAGCAGUAGGGAAUCUUCGGCAAUGGACGGAAGUCUGACCGAGCAACGCCGCGUGAGUGAAGAAGGUUUUCGGAUCGUAAAGCUCUGUUGUAAGAGAAGAACGAGUGUGAGAGUGGAAAGUUCACACUGUGACGGUAUCUUACCAGAAAGGGACGGCUAACUACGUG